UACAGAGGUCCCAAGCGUUGUUCGGAUUCACUGGGCGUAAAGCGCACGUAGGCGGAUUGCUAAGUCAGGGGUGAAAUCCUGGAGCUCAACUCCAGAACUGCCUUUGAUACUGGCGAUCUUGAGUCCGGGAGAGGUGAGUGGAACUGCGAGUGUAGAGGUGAAAUUCGUAGAUAUUCGCAAGAACACCAGUGGCGAAGGCGGCUUACUGGUCCGGUUCUGACGCUGAGGCGCGAAAGCGUGGGGAGCAAACAGG
rnacentral:rRNA from 1 species